UUACCGGGAGCCCCGCCGCCGAGUUACCGGGAGCCCCGCCGGGUAAAGGUCGCCGCCCGCUAGUCUCGCAGGGUCCUCGGCCUUCUUGGCCCAGCUGGCCGCACCCGAGCUUUCGUCCCUAGCGCAUCACUGCCUCGAGAAGGAAGCCUUUUUGUUCCGUUCAGGAUCAGCGGACCCGAGGUUACCCCGUUUGGAGCUGUGCAUCUCACAAUUGUUUUUUCUUGUGAGAGUAUGCAGGUAUUCCUGUUACUCCUGACUGGUUCUGCUAUAUCUGUUGAGGGAGAAGAGGAGCAGGGAAGUUCUGAAAACUGAUCAUCCAUGUCUUGAAGGAGUGAAAGCAAGAGAGGACUUUAUAAGUGGCAGCUUUCUGAGUUCAUAAUACCUUUACUUCUAGACUAACACUUUAAUAAUAAGCCCUUAUCCCUUUAGCUCAUUAUCCUUCAAUUCAAAUGCCUGUGCCUUCUAGGGCAUUAAGCUAGUUUUGGGUUUUUUGUUUUGUUUGAAUGUUUUUUUCCAAUUCAGUAAGGUUUUUCCCUUUUCUCCUGUUGGUUAUUUAAAACCAAACUCAGUAUGAAAAAGAGGGAAAUAUACAGCAUUGAAUUUGGAGGAUAAAAUGAAGAUUCUAAGUAGGAUUGAAGCUGGAUGAUCUCUUAAAAGUGUAAAGGAUGAAUUUGGAAUCAAUAAAUCAACAUUUUAUGACAUUAAAAAGA